UUCAAAGCAAAUUUCUGAAGGCAGCAUCCUUUCUAAUUUACCUUUUCGGUGGACUCUAGUUUACUUAAAUUAAAAAAUGUCAAUGCUUGAGUACUUUUUUUUAUUGUUGCAGUAACGUUACUGCUGCUGUGCUGAACAAAAAAUAAAAACAAAAUAUGUGUUGUAUCAGUAAAUGAGGUUAAGUUAUUAUAAACAUACUCUGAUUUUUUUUUUCACACAAAAAAUUGAAAGAAAAUAAGUCAACCAAUGAACGGAAACAAGAAUAAUAGACAUUUCAAGUUUGGUAAGGCAUCGUGUGAAACAGCUGGCUAAGCUGGCAUACUUGAAACUUUGAUUUCAAAAGUAUGUCUUGUCCAGCUGUAUAUUUCUUUUUUAUGGACUCAAAUAUAGAAUGUGACAAGUUACCAAAUGUCAUUUCUGUUGUUUGAGAAAAAAAGUCAUUGCUAAAGAGCAUGAUGCAAUUAUUGUUGUUGUAACCAAGGACACGGUUUGCGAUGUAUCGAUGGAGCUUUGAAUUUACAUGGGGAAUUCAGUUAUUUGUAAAUUGA